CUGUUUUCUCGUUUCAGCUCGAGAUCUGUUGCCAUGCUGGGCAGCGGCAUUCGCUUUGCUACACUUGCACUAAACCUCCUCUGGUUUGUGGCAUUUGGUGAAUGAGGGAGUUUGAUGUUGCUGCUAUCAUCUUUGUUUGUUGCCAUCUUGUUGGGUCAUCCAGAACUCUGGACAGGAGUAGAUCCUCUUCUGUUGUGCAUAUUCCUACAUCCACCCCAUGUUGGUAUCUCAGGCUUUGUGGGAGGAUAUUGAAGAGCUGUGGGUGCCUGAACCCCAAGGUGUUGCAGUAUCUGUUAUUUGACUGCAACCAUGCUGGAGCACCGCCUUUAGUCGAGCAAAUCGACCCCAGGACUUAUUCUCUAUAUAUACACGCAGGGGCCCAGUUGCAUUUCGUUUCAAGAUGUUUAUUUGUUUGAGACUACUUUCACCUGAAAAUCUAUAAAUACAGGAAUCUAUAUGUAUACUUUGCCUGAAAAUCUGCGAAGUAUACAUGUAAUGCCUAUUUAUUUGCCAUGAAGUGAAAAGCUAUCUGAGAAGGAAAAAGUUAAACAUUUAUCAGUACAUGAAAGUCCGAUAAAGUAAACACGUAAACUUGAUCAACAAUUUUACCUUAAAAUUUCAGUUUCUGACAACAUUCAAUGACCAAAAAAACAAAAAUUGCUUAUUCAUCCUCUCAUUAUUCAUACAACUUUUCAACUGCUAACAGUUCCUUUCCCAUUCUCACAUUAAUAUACUACUUAACCACUCUUUUGAUAAUGAAUUCACCUAAGGAUAUACCUGAGGAAGAACCAGCUUAAAUGGAUAUAGUUAAAUCCUCCUACCCUCCUAAACAUAAUGACUCACACAAUGAAUAUCAUUAAAGAGGAGCUUUCUAUCGUACAUUUCUCCAGUAACAGAAUACCCAGUUUAUAAAGUCUUCAAUCGAUACAUUGAUCCAAUGGCUGGGAUAUCUCAGAAACAGCUGUCAGAGACUAUCUUUACUAUAUUUAGCAAUUUUGUAUUAUUUUACUGGUUUAAGAUUGAAUUAAAUAAAUUUAAAUGCCAUAGUUCGGCCUUAA